rnacentral:rRNA from 1 species
AUACGGAGGAUCCGAGCGUUAUCCGGAUUUAUUGGGUUUAAAGGGUGCGCAGACGGCCAUUUAAGUCAGCGGUUAAAUCGUGGGGCUCAACCCCAUUCUGCCGUUGAUACUGGGUGGCUUGAUUGCGGUCGAGGUUGGCGGAAUUCGUUGUGUAGCGGUGAAAUGCAUAGAUAUGACGAAGAACACCGAUUGCGUAGGCAGCUGACCAGACCGCAAAUGACGCUCAUGCACGAAAGUGCGGGGAUCGAACAGGAUUAGAUACCCUGGUAGUCCGCACAGUAAACGAUGAAUACUUGUUUUCGGCGAUAUAAUGUCGGAGGCAAAGCGAAAGCGAUAAGUAUUCCACCUGGGGAGUACGCCGGCAACGGUGAAACUCAAAGGAAUUGACGGGG